rnacentral:rRNA from 1 species
GAUGAACGCUGGCGGCGCGCCUAACACAUGCAAGUCGAACGGCACCCCUCUCCGGAGGGAAGCGAGUGGCGAACGGCUGAGUAACGCGUGGAGAACCUGCCCCCUCCCCCGGGAUAGCCGCCCGAAAGGACGGGUAAUACCGGAUACCCCGGGGUGCCGCAUGGCACCCCGGCUAAAGCCCCGACGGGAGGGGAUGGCUCCGCGGCCCAUCAGGUAGACGGCGGGGUGACGGCCCACCGUGCCGACAACGGGUAGCCGGGUUGAGAGACCGACCGGCCAGAUUGGGACUGAGACACGGCCCAGACUCCUACGGGAGGCAGCAGUGGGGAAUCUUGCGCAAUGGGGGGAACCCUGACGCAGCGACGCCGCGUGCGGGACGGAGGCCUUCGGGUCGUAAACCGCUUUCAGCAGGGAAGAGUCAAGACU